rnacentral:rRNA from 1 species
AGAGUUUGAUCCUGGCUCAGGAUGAACGCUGGCGGCGUGCCUAACACAUGCAAGUCGAGCGGGAUCUUAAGUAAUGAAGCUUCGGUAGAUUUAGUUAAGUGAGAGCGGCGGACGGGUGAGUAACGCGUAGGCAACCUGCCCUUUGCAGAGGGAUAGCCAUUGGAAACGAUGAUUAAAACCUCAUAAUGCCAAGAGUUCACAUGGACAUUUGGCCAAAGAUUUAUCGGCAAAGGAUGGGCCUGCGUCUGAUUAGCUAGUUGGUGGGGUAACGGCCUACCAAGGCGACGAUCAGUAGCCGACCUGAGAGGGUGAUCGGCCACAUUGGAACUGAGACACGGUCCAAACUCCUACGGGAGGCAGCAGUGGGGAAUAUUGCACAAUGGGCGAAAGCCUGAUGCAGCAACGCCGCGUGAAGGAAGAAGGUCUUCGGAUCGUAAACUUCUGUCCUUAGGGAAGAUAAUGACGGUACCUUUGGAGGAAGCCCCGGCUAACUACGUGCCAGCAGCCGCGGUAAUACGUAGGGGGCAAGCGUUAUCCGGAAUUAUUGGGCGUAAAGAGUGCGUAGGUGGUUACCUAAGCAGGGGGUGAAAGGCAAUGGCUCAACCAUUGUUAGCCCCCUGAACUGGGUAUCUUGAGUGCAGGAGAGGAAAGCGGAAUUCCUAGUGUAGCGGUGAAAUGCGUAGAUAUUAGGAGGAACACCAGUGGCGAAGGCGGCUUUCUGGACUGAAACUGACACUGAGGCACGAAAGUGUGGGGAGCAAACAGGAUUAGAUACCCUGGUAGUCCACACCGUAAACGAUGAGCACUAGGUGUCGGGGGAGCAAAGCUCUUCGGUGCCGUCGCAAACGCACUAAGUAGUCCACCUGGGGAGUACGUUCGCAAGAAUGAAACUCAAAGGAAUUGACGGGGACCCGCACAAGCGGUGGAGCAUGUGGUUUAAUUCGAAGCAACGCGAAGAACCUUACCUGGUCUUGACAUCCCGGUGACGGCAGAGUAAUGUCUGCUUUCCUUCGGGACACCGGAGACAGGUGGUGCAUGGUUGUCGUCAGCUCGUGUCGUGAGAUGUUGGGUUAAGUCCCGCAACGAGCGCAACCCUUAUCUUUAGUAGCCAGCAUGAAAGAUGGGCACUCUAGAGAGACUGCCAGGGAUAACCUGGAGGAAGGUGGGGAUGACGUCAAAUCAUCAUGCCCCUUAUGACCAGGGCUACACACGUGCUACAAUGGCGUAAACAAAGGGAAGCAAACCUGUGAAGGGGAGCAAAUCUCAAAAAUAACGUCUCAGUUCGGAUUGUAGUCUGCAACUCGACUACAUGAAGCUGGAAUCGCUAGUAAUCGCGAAUCAGCAUGUCGCGGUGAAUACGUUCCCGGGUCUUGUACACACCGCCCGU